UACGUAGGGGGCGAGCGUUGUCCGGAUUUACUGGGCGUAAAGAGCGCGUAGGCGGCAGCUUAAGUUGGCUGUGAAAUCUCUGUACCCAACACAGAGGGGUCGGCCAAGACUGGGCAGCUAGAGUGCGGUAGGGGAAGGUGGAAUUCCGGGUGUAGUGGUGAAAUGCGUAGAGAUCCGGAGGAACACCGGUGGCGAAGGCGGCCUUCUGGGCCGUAACUGACGCUGAGGCGCGAAAGCGUGGGGAGCGAAC
rnacentral:rRNA from 1 species